GUGGGAGCACGGGUCGGCCUUCACGGGUUGUACUGUUGUUGCGUCCUGCCGUUUCGGAGGGAAUGUCAUGUUAUUAGGUUAGCGUGAUCGGAAACUCUGUCGUUUACUGUGAAAAAAUUAGAGUGUUCAAAGCAGGCCUUCGCUGUGAAUACAUUAGCAUGGAAUAAUAAUAUAGGACUGUAGUGCUAUUUUGCUGGUUUGCUUACUAUGGUAAUGAUUAAUAGGGAUAGAUGGGGGUAUUCAUAUUCAAUUGUC
rnacentral:rRNA from 1 species